GCGAACGAGAAGGCGCUAGGAGCAAAGGAAAGUGGUUUUUCUAACAAACUCAUAUAAUCAAGUGCACGACGUACUCCAAUUUGAUUUUUUUCACAUAGUUAGACAUAAUAUAGUACUAUGAAAUGUUUCUGACCCAAAAUAUUACGAAAUAUGAUUGUUUACAUUAAAAUGCAAAAGUUGAUGAAAAAGUAUGAUAAGGUGAAAAAAGUGACAUUUUAUGUCUAGAAAGUGACUUUUCAUCAAAAGUUCAAUUACAAAACUAGUUCCCAUUCAUUCUGUGUCCCUUACACACUUGUGCUCUUUAUCCGCUCAAAACGCUAUACAGCGAACGAGAAGGCGCUAGGAGCAAAGGAAAGUGGUUUUUCUAACAAACUCAUAUAAUCAAGUGCACGACCUACUCCAAUUUGAUUUUUUUCACAUAGUUAGACAUAAUAUAGUACUAUGAAAUGUUUCUGACCCAAAAUAUUACGAAAUAUGAUUGUUUACAUUAAAAUGCAAAAGUUGAUGAAAAAGUAUGAUAAG
ensembl:lncRNA